GACGAACCGAGCGAACGUUGUUCGGAAUCACUGGGCUUAAAGGGCGCGUAGGCGGGCUGUCAAGUCUGGGGUGAAAUCCCACGGCUCAACCGUGGAACUGCCUUAGAUACUGACGGCCUCGAGGGAGAUAGGGGCGAACGGAACUGUGAGUGGAGCGGUGAAAUGCGUUGAUAUUCACAGGAACUCCGGUGGCGAAGGCGGCUCGCUGGAUCUUUUCUGACGCUGAGACGCGAAAGCUAGGGGAGCAAACGGG
rnacentral:rRNA from 1 species